CCCAGACUCCUACGGGAGGCAGCAGUGGGGAAUAUUGCACAAUGGGGGAAACCCUGAUGCAGCGACGCCGCGUGAGUGAAGAAGUAUUUCGGUAUGUAAAGCUCUAUCAGCAGGGAAGAUAAUGACGGUACCUGACUAAGAAGCCCCGGCUAACUACGUGCCAGCAGCCGCGGUAAUACGUAGGGGGCAAGCGUUAUCCGGAUUUACUGGGUGUAAAGGGUGCGCAGGUGGCAGGGCAAGUCAGAUGUGAAAGCCCGGGGCUCAACCCCGGUAUUGCAUUUGAAACUGUCCGGCUAGAGUGCAGGAGAGGUAAGCGGAAUUCCUAGUGUAGCGGUGAAAUGCGUAGAUAUUAGGAGGAACACCAGUGGCGAAGGCGGCUUACUGGACUGUAACUGACACUGAGGCACGAAAGCGUGGGGAGCAAACAGGAUUAGAUACCCGGGUA
rnacentral:rRNA from 1 species